GUGAGGAAUUUUCCGCAAUGGGCGAAAGCCUGACGGAGCAAUGCCGCGUGAAGGAUGAAGGCCUAUGGGUUGUAAACUUCUUUUCUCAGAAAAGAAUUAUGACGGUAUCUGAGGAAUAAGCAUCGGCUAACUCUGUGCCAGCAGCCGCGGUAAGACAGAGGAUGCAAGCGUUAUCCGGAAUGAUUGGCGUAAAGCGUCUGUAGGUUGUUUAAAAAGUAUUCUGUCAAAGAUUAGGGCUUAACCCUAGAUAGGCAGAAUAAACUUUUAAGCUAGAGUUUGGUAGAGGCAGAGGGAAUUCCCGGUGGAGCGGUGAAAUGCGUAGAUAUCGGGAGGAACACCAAAGGCGAAGGCACUCUGCUGGGCCAAUACUAACACUGAGAGACGAAAGCGAGGGGAGCAAAUGGGAUUAGAAACCCGUGUAGUCC
rnacentral:rRNA from 1 species